AUUGAACGCUGGCGGCAUGCCUUACACAUGCAAGUCGAACGGCAGCGGACCUUCGGGUGCCGGCGAGUGGCGAACGGGUGAGUAAUAUACCGUAACGUGCCUUUCAGUGGGGGAUAACGUAGCGAAAGUUACGCUAAUACCGCAUAUUCUCGGAGGAGGAAAGCAGGGGACCUUCGGGCCUUGCGCUGAUAGAGGGGCCGAUAACAGAUUAGCUAGUAGGUGGGGUCAUGGCUCACCUAGGCGACGAUCCCUAGCUGGUCUGAGAGGAUGACCAGCCACACUGGAACUGAGACACGGUCCAGACUCCUACGGGAGGGAGCAGUGGGGAAUAUUGCAAAAGGGGCGCAAGCCUGAUGCAGCCAUGCCGCGUGUAUGAAGAAGGCCUUCGGGUUGUAAAGUACUUUCAGCGGGGAGGAAGGCGAUGUGGUUAAUAACCGCAUCGAUUGACGUUACCCGCAGAAGAAGCACCGGCUAACUCCGUGCCAGCAGCAGCCGCCG
rnacentral:rRNA from 1 species